rfam:Canis lupus familiaris chromosome 20, whole genome shotgun sequence.
GCCUGGGUGGCUCAGUGGUUGAGCAUCUGCCUUUGGCUCAGGGCAUGGUCCUGGAGUCCUGGGAUCAAGUCCCACAUCAGGCU